rnacentral:misc_RNA from 1 species
AGAGGAAGGAGAAGUCGUAACAAGGUUUCCGUAGGUGAACCUGCGGAAGGAUCAUUGUCGAAACCUGCCYAGCAGAACGACCUGUGAACUCUUUAAAACACUGGAGGGUGCGUGCCUUGCGUGCGCUCCCCUCUUUUCUGCAUCAGGUGCGGGCUUGUGCUCGUGCUUGUUACAGAACAACCAACCCCGGGCGCAGUAUGCGCCAAGGAAAACUAACAAGAGAGCACGAUCUCAGGCCCCAUAUAUGGUGUGCUUGGGACGCGGUGCAUUCUUUCACAUUAUCUAUAACGACUCUCGGCAACGGAUAUCUAGGCUCUCGCAUCGAUGAAGAACGCAGC